UUAGAGUGCUCAAAUCAGGUCGUAUUUAGGCCUGAAUACUGUGUGCAUGGAAUAAUGGAAUAGGACCUCGGUUCUAUUUUGUUGGUUUUUUGGAAUCAGAGGUAAUGAUUAAUAGGGACAGUCGGGGGCAUUCGUAUUGCGACGUUAGAGGUGAAAUUCUUGGAUCGUCGCAAGACGAACCUAAGCGAAAGCAUUUGCCAAGUAUGUUCCCGUUAAUCAAGAACGAAAGUUAGAGGUUCGAAGGCGAUCAGAUACCGCCUAGUUCUAACCAUAAACGAUGCCAGCCAGCGAUCCGCCGAAGUUCCUCCGAUGACUCGGCGGGCAGCUUCCGGGAACCAAAGACUUUGGGUUCCGGGGAAGGUAUGGUUGCAAAGCUGAAACUUAAAGGAAUUGACGGAAGGGCACCACCAGGAGUGGAGCCUGCGGCUUAAUUUGACUCAACACGGGAAACCUCACCAGGCCCGGACACCGGAAGGAUUGACAGAUUGAGAGCUCUUUCUUGAUUCGGUGGGUGGUGGUGCAUGGCCGUUCUUAGUUGGUGGAGCGAUUUGUCUGGUUAAUUCCGAUAACGAACGAGACUCAGACCUGACUAAAUGACGUAUUUCCGGUAUCCACAAUAGUGCUACCGGCGAAAUCAAUAUCUUCUU
rnacentral:rRNA from 1 species